UACACGACCGUACCGCAAACCGACACUGGUGCGCGAGAUGAGUAUUCUAAGGCGCUUGAGAGAACUCAGGAGAAGGAACUCGGCAAAUUGACACCGUAACUUCGGAAGAAGGUGUGCCUUUAGUAGGUGAACCAUUUACUUGGGGAGCCCAAUGAGGCUGCAAAAAAUCGGUGGCUGCAACUGUUUAUUAAAAACACAGCACUCUGCUAAGACGAAAGUCGACGUAUAGGGUGUGACGCCUGCCCGGUGCUGGAAGAUUAAAUGAUGGGGUGCAAGCUCUUGAUUGAAGUCCCAGUAAACGGCGGCCGUAACGAUAACGGUCCUAAGGUAGCGAAAUUCCUUGUCGGGUAAGUUCCGACCUGCACGAAUGGCGUAAUGAUGGCCACACUGUCUCCUCCUGAGACUCAGCGAAGUUGAAAUGUUUGUGAUGAUGCAAUCUCCCCGCGGAAAGACGGAAAGACCCCAUGAACCUUUACUGUAGCUUUGUAUUGGACUUUGAACAGAUCUGUGUAGGAUAGGUGGGAGGCUUUGAAGUGUGGUCGCUAGAUCGCAUGGAGCCAACGUUGAAAUACCACCCUGGUGUGUUUGAGGUUCUAACCUAGGUCCAUUAUCUGGAUCGGGGACAGUGCAUGGUAGGCAGUUUGACUGGGGCGGUCUCCUCCCAAAGUGUAACGGAGGAGUUCGAAGGUACGCUAGGUACGGUCGGACAUCGUGCUAAUAGUGCAAUGGCAUAAGCGUGCUUAACUGCGAGACUGACAAGUCGAGCAGAUGCGAAAGCAGGACAUAGUGAUCCGGUGGUUCUGUAUGGAAGGGCCAUCGCUCAACGGAUAAAAGGUACUCUGGGGAUAACAGGCUGAUACCGCCCAAGAGUUCAUAUCGACGGCGGUGUUUGGCACCUCGAUGUCGGCUCAUCUCAUCCUGGGGCUGUAGCCGGUCCCAAGGGUAUGGCUGUUCGCCAUUUAAAGAGGUACGUGAGCUGGGUUUAAAACGUCGUGAGACAGUUUGGUCCCUAUCUUCCGUGGGCGCUGCAGAUUUGAGGAAGCCUGCUCCUAGUACGAGAGGACCGGAGUGGACGAACCUCUGGUGUAUCGGUUGUCACGCCAGUGGCAUUGCCGAGUAGCUAAGUUCGGAAGAGAUAACCGCUGAAAGCAUCUAAGCGGGAAACUCGUUUCAAGAUUAGAUCUGCCGGGGCCUUGAGCCCCCUAAAGAGUCGUUCAA
rnacentral:rRNA from 1 species